rnacentral:piRNA from 1 species
UGAUGUUAACCCGACACUGCCUAAAGA